GUGAAGGAAAAAUAUGAAACAUGAUUUUUUUUAUGAUUUUUCUAUUGUUACUUGUGAAAUUGAGUAUUUUACAAUUAACUAUUAUUUUUCUAUUUACCAUUUUACCAUUUUUAGUCAUCACAUUUGUUCAACGUAUAAAGCAUAAUUGUUGAAAGAAAAUGACAAGUCCAUACAUUUUUACAACUAUUAUAUGAGUUAAUGACCAAUACUUUUAAUUGUCAGUCAUUCCUAAUGUCAUGGUACUAAAUGUUUUCACUAUAGCUUUUAAAGUAUACAAAGUCAACAAAGUCUUAUUUAUCAUAUAUGUUUACACAAAAACUCAUACAUCACUGAUCAGUAAUGCAAUUUGACAAAAAAAUUUUGACUUGGAAGAAGGUAAAUUUAUACUCCAAAUAUAAGUCUAUACAGUUUUAUUAACCGGAUUUUUGUGACAAAAAUGUCGGUUAUUGAUUUGGGGAUGUACGGCGGUCGGGCAGUCGGGCGGGCGGCAAUCAAAUGUUGUCCGUGCAUUAACUCAUGAACCGAUCAACCAAAGCUUUUAAAAUUUUAAUAUGUUAUUCCUGACAACUAUACGAAGGUAAAGUUCAAGAAUGGCGAUUUUGACUUUUACCGUUCAGGAGUUAUGGUUCUUGAAAGAUUGAAAAAUGGAGUUGUCGGUGCAUUACGCAUGAACUGUUCUACCAAAGCUUCC
rnacentral:lncRNA from 1 species